UACGUAGGGUGCGAGCGUUAAUCGGAAUUACUGGGCGUAAAGCGUGCGCAGGCGGUUUUGUAAGCCAGAUGUGAAAUCCCCGGGCUUAACCUGGGAAUGGCAUUUGGGACUGCAAGGCUUGAGUGCGGCAGAGGAGACUGGAAUUCCUGGUGUAGCAGUGAAAUGCGUAGAUAUCAGGAGGAACACCGGUGGCGAAGGCGGUGGUCUGGGCCGGCACUGACGCUGAGGAGCGAAAGCGUGGGGAGCAAACAGG
rnacentral:rRNA from 1 species